AGAAAAUGUCAUGUCUUAUGAAGUAGCCUGCUCUGAAAUGUACUCUAGAUAGGCUAAGGCAACAUGUAGGUUCAUAGUCUACUUCAAAGGAGAUGCUCCAAACAUCUGGGCAUGGAUGGAAAAUAAGAUGGAAUCUUUGGGAAGGCGCAGGCACCUCUCCUGUUGGCAAGAAGAAAGAUGGCAAAGAAUAUACCUCGCCUGGACAGGAAUUGGGCUCCCAAGCAGAAGUGGUAUCACAGCAGGUGAGACAGUACCAGGGAGAAACUUCAGAAGAGGGUUGCAGAGAGUACUGAAUUGUGGG
rnacentral:lncRNA from 1 species